rnacentral:lncRNA from 1 species
UAACUUCCAGGCGGGGUGUUUUCCAUUUCAUCGACAUGAUCUGGAUGCCAACGAAAUGAAGACCAUUUCUGGCGAAGGAAAUGACAGAUUAAAUUAUAGCCAGUCGGCUGUUCCAAGGUUCUCAUAUUUUCACUGCAAUCCAGACAAAUGUUUGGCUUUGAGGUUGUUUGGACCUUUUUCUCUUGUUGAAGCCAAGAUAUGUGAGGCAAAUGUAUGACAGAAUGGCUCAACCUUUCCUCAGACAAGAGAUUGCUUUGUUUUCAUCCAAGUCAAAAAGUGAUUGUAGCUUGCAUCCACUGGCCAACUUUGCCUUCUUUCAAGCACCCACUGAAACCUGUGAACAGGGACAAUACAGAGGGAGAAGUCCUGCAGCGAUUAUGACAGGCCAUGUGCCCUCCAGGACUUUCCAAGAUGCACAUUCUGCACAUCAUCUGAGUGUCCUUUGGCAGCAACAGUUGGCCCAAGCCUUGCAGCAGCAGCUGGUAUAUUUUCCAGGAGAGAAUAGGAAGAAAAAGGAGCUGCAGCCAUGCAUUUGCUUUUAA